rnacentral:piRNA from 1 species
CGAAGCCUGAGAAUUUUAACUUAA